UGCUUGUUUUUACAUUGUUUUGCCGGGUUUUGAUGUGAAUUAAAGAUGAAAGUGAAGCAAGGUGGACUUAGACUCAUGAAAGAAGCAGAAAAAGGACGAAAAGAAGGGUCAAGUGAACCGCUCAACGGCCAAAUCCAACAUUGAGCGGCUAGAGCGAUUAAAGGCAAACCGCUCAGCGAUUAAACUGACCGCUGAGCGGAGGCGCGGCUAAAG
rnacentral:lncRNA from 1 species